rnacentral:rRNA from 1 species
UACGUAGGUGGCAAGCGUUGUCCGGAAUUAUUGGGCGUAAAGCGCGCGCAGGCGGUCUUUUAAGUCUGAUGUGAAAGCCCACGGCUCAACCGUGGAAGGUCAUUGGAAACUGAGAGACUUGAGUACAGAAGAGGAAAGCGGAAUUCCACGUGUAGCGGUGAAAUUCGUAGAUAUCGGGAGGAACACCGGUGGCGAAGGCGGCGACCUGGGACAAUACUGACGCUGAGGUGCGAAAGCGUGGGGAGCAAACAGG